UACCUAUAAGACUGGGAUAACUUCGGGAAACCGGGAAGCUAAUACCGGAUAAUAUUUCGAACCGCAUGGUUCGAUAGUGAAAGANGGUUUUGCUAUCACUUAUAGAUGGACCCGCGCCGUAUUAGCUAGUUGGUAAGGUAACGGCUUACCAAGGCGACGAUACGUAGCCGACCUGAGAGGGUGAUCGGCCACACUGGAACUGAGACACGGUCCAGACUCCUACGGGAGGCAGCAGCC
rnacentral:rRNA from 1 species